rnacentral:rRNA from 1 species
CCUACGGGAGGCAGCAGUGGGGAAUUUUGGACAAUGGGGGCAACCCUGAUCCAGCAAUGCCGCGUGUGUGAAGAAGGCCUUCGGGUUGUAAAGCACUUUUGUCCGGAAAGAAAACGUUCUGGUUAAUACCUGGGGCGGAUGACGGUACCGGAAGAAUAAGCACCGGCUAACUACGUGCCAGCAGCCGCGGUAAUACGUAGGGUGCGAGCGUUAAUCGGAAUUACUGGGCGUAAAGCGUGCGCAGGCGGUUUUGUAAGACAGGCGUGAAAUCCCCGAGCUCAACUUGGGAAUUGCGCUUGUGACUGCAAGGCUAGAGUAUGUCAGAGGGGGGUAGAAUUCCACGUGUAGCAGUGAAAUGCGUAGAGAUGUGGAGGAAUACCGAUGGCGAAGGCAGCCCCCUGGGACGUCACUGACGCUCAUGCACGAAAGCGUGGGGAGCAAACAGGAUUAGAUACCCUGGUAGUCCACGCCCUAAACGNUGUACACUAGUUGUGGGUAUUCUAUUCUCAGUACGUAGACUACGNGUAGAGUGACCGCGNGGNGUACGUCGCGAGAGUAACUANAAUUAGAGUAGUUAGNGUGNGAGNGCGACGGACGACGACGAGGGAGGAGG